rnacentral:ncRNA from 1 species
GCCCCAGAAUCGUGAGGAAACGGCCCCUUACGGAUCGGGUAACUAUCACAAAAGGAG